rnacentral:lncRNA from 1 species
CAUCACAUGUGCUAUUUAGGUCGAGUGGUGUUGACGGUUGUUAGCACGCCAAUUUGUAAACCGCAAGUGUAUGGAUCAGUUGUAACUCUUCCCUCAGAGUAUUCCCCCAAGGUUAUCAAUAAGUGGAACUUAUUAACUUGGUGUUUAUGAGAGAUUCAAAUCCAAUCUACUAGGCAUGUAUAGACAGAUAACAGAUGGAGCAAAGAUAACUAAUCUAGAGAAACUAGACUAUGCAAAGGUAUCCCUCACAUAUGUUGUAAUUCUGAGCAUGGAUAGCAAAACAACACAGAUGUGAUCUUAGUUUAAAUCUACAUCUCCGGUCCGGAUCCCGAAACCCCCCCACCUUACACAAGAAAGAUCCUGUCACGAUCAUCUCUAUCAGCGCAAGCAGGUUAAGGGCAUAAUCAUGUUCUAGGGCAUAAUCAUGAGAACAUGUCAUACUCAUCAGUAGAUCAUGCAUGCAAAUCUGGUCACCACGACUACAAGAACACCCUAGGCAAUCUAUCAUCGAUUCAUAGAUUGAAAAACAAGCAAACCCGAUAAAGCAUAAAACCAUCAAAGGAGAUACUUAGAUCAUUAAGAACAUGAACACAUCUAUAACUUCACCAUGAAUAAUUGUACAUCACAAGAUCACUGCCGGGAUCCGACCUUGAUCUUGAUGACUUCUAGCUCCAGAACUCUAUCGUGAUCUUCCUCGCAGGGUGAUCACGCCGGCAGAGGUUCACCUACACUAACCCUCGACAACUGUACCACCCUCGGCUCUCUAGAGAGGUGUCCCUCAAGCUCCUUCUGCUUCUCUACUACCUCACGUCGAGUACUCAUCUUGGAUAUGGGGCUUGGUGCAGUUUUUAGUGUAUUUAUAGUCCAGAGAGCGCGUGGUAAAAAUUGUAAGGAAGGGGAAGGAGGAAACCCCCAAGCGGAUCGAGCUGGGAGGGUCCAGCUUGAUCGACCUAGGCCUUCCUUUUAGCCCCUCGCGUCCUGCUUCAUCUCCAAGUCUCCUCAGGUGCUCUGGAAUCUUCUUUUCACUUGCAUGUCGGCCUGGCACGUCGAUUGCUUCAGGAUGAGAUUGAUCUUCAAUGACUUUCCAAAUCUCCGCUUGAUCUUCUCCAAUUCCUCUUUGAUUCCGAGCUGGUCCUUGCCAUAUCUUCACAAACUUAGCCCCUAAGCAAUGUUGGAGGGUUGCUUGCCAAUAAUGGGCACCAGGGGACGCCAGAAGAUGACAGGUCGAUCGGCUUGAGCUCCUCUAAGCCGAUUGGCCUAGCCUCUUCCUGGGCCCGUUGACCUUUGUCAUCGUCUGGUUUGACGCUCGUUCAGUGCUUUAUCCAAAAAUAUGCUUUUAGGCCCACUUUCCUUCAAAAACACAACAUCCUCCAAAAUACGUUGCACAUGUGAAAAUGACCGGUCUAUUAGGUGUAAUCAAUAGUUUAGGUAUUAAAUUCAUAUCAUUAUUGAAGAUAAACAGGGGUAAAAGUGUGUUAAUAACGAGCGUCAAAAAUCCCCCAUGCUUAAACCUUGCUCGUUGUCGAGUAAGUCUUCAAUAGAAAUCAGUGCUGCCUUUCGAUGUUCACUCCUGCACUUGAUCACAUACAAGAAAACAUAAUGCUCUCAUAGAAUUUUUCUAUUAAUAUAUCAAGUUGCUACCAACCUUCUCUAAUAUGGAGGGUAGACAUCAUUUAAGCAUAUCCCACAAUAAAUUUAUUCGUUUUCUCUCAAUUUUAAACAAACAUCAGAAAAUUUUCAAUAAAAACUUUUUCAAAAAGAAACUGAACCAAGAUCAACAAUUUAAAUUUCAUUGCAAUUGCUCAUGUUCUCUCAGCUCAUCAAGUCUCUCAAACCUAUGCUACAACUUCUCCAACCUGUCAUCACUCAUAAAUUAUGUGUAACGCUUUAUUUGGAUCUUUGGGAAGGUUAGUCCUAGCAAAAAUAUUAUAAUCAGGAUAUUAUCAAAACAAGAAAGGCUUCUGAUGGAUCUUACUAAGACUUGUCAAAAAGGUCAUGGAAAAUAAUUAUUUAUGGAGAGGGAGAGAAUGAACACACACAUUUAGAUAGUGGACAUGUGCAAGGGCAAAGAGUGAUCGCGAGGCACAAAUGAAGUCCUCGUAAUCAAAUUGCGCAUGGUUGGAAUAAUGAGUAUGGAAUAAUCUUUAAUCUUGAAAGCACUUGGAAUUUUUAUGAAGCUCAAAGAACUAAGGAGUACUUUAUUUCUCCUUUUCUUUUCCUUUCUUUUUUUUCUUUUUCCACCAUAUAUAUUUUUUUCUUUUUGCUCCUCAGAACUCUCUGCAACAUAUUACGUAUUUAGCAGUAGUUAAAAAUAAUGCGAUGACUCUCCCCCCUACUUAGACAAUGCUCGUCCUCGAGCAUGAAAAGGAAGAAAGAUAAACUGCUGAUGUAAGUCCCAAAUUCUUCGAUCUUCUGAAAAAAUUAUUUUAUUGCUCUGGAGGGAUUCCACGCCACAUUUCAGGGGCAAUAGAGGGGGGAACACCCUAGGCCAAUCGGCCUGAGGGUGGCCAAGAUGAUCGGCCUAGCCCAUUUUAGCCUUUAUUUCCUCCGUUUUUUAUUCCACGCACUGAUGUUUGCCUCCAUGUCUUGAUUUUCAUGAAAAUGCACUAAUUAAUCUUCAAAAUAUUUUUCAUACUCAAAUUGGGUUGUGGUCUAGGAGGUAGUCACAAAAAUGAUAUUUGGGUUUAGGAUUGGAAGCCCAACGAAGUUUACGAAAUUUUCAGUGUACAAAUUCACAAUGUAUGGACAGAAAAGCUAGAAAUAAGAUAUUACAAAAAAGGAAUGACCAGCUUCUAAGUCUCAUACCAUAGAAGUAGAUUCUAAAUCAAUUCACCCAAAAAUAAAUUUUACAAUCUAUGGUUCAUAUAAAUAUUUGGCUUUCGAGCAAUUGCAACAAGUAUUAUUGACGAGGUUAGCAUGAGUUGUAACAAAAAAUAAAAGAGCCUUUGAUCCAUUUAAAAGAGAGGGCAAUAAACAAAUAUAUGAAUCCAAAUUAUAUAACGUCCAUAAAAAGAUAACAUGGUAUUUAUGUCAAUUUUCAGUUUAUGUUAAAGAGAGCAUUAGUUCAAUGGUGCAAUAACCAAGUACAAAAAUUAAACAAGGUGGCAACGAUCAUCAUCUUUCAACAUGACAAGAAUUUAAACCAUCACAUUUAAUCACAUAUCAUUAGGUUCAGGUAAUGCAUAUUUUAUUUAGCAUGGCAUGGUGAAAUAAACACACAGACUGAAAAAUAAAGAGAAAAUAAAACAAAAAAGUAAAAUAGAAAAUACUACGCACACCCAACACACAUGCUGAAAUAAAUAAAUAAAAAGAAAAGAAAACCCAAACCACACGUGUGCGUUUUUAUUCGUCCCCUUUGGUCUCUAGUACAGGUCAUCUUGCGGCGGGUCGUAGUGUGGCUCUCCCUGUGGCACGUCUCCGUGCUGUUGGUACUCGCGAUACCCCUGCUCGUAGUGCUCCUGCGCUCCACCUUAGUACUGAUUUGGAGGCACAAUCCCUAGCAUGCCGAACUAAUAGGCGAUGGCCAUGUUUCCGUCCUCAAUCCUGUCAGCAGCUUGCCUCACAGCGUCUGCAUCUUGUAAAUUAUUAUAUGCGCCUAUGAUGUGCGCACUUCUUUGUGGCUGUGGCAGGGUGGUUGUAUUGAGCAGAUAAUGGAGCAUGUGGUGGAGGUCCCUAGAAAGAAGGCGGCCUAUAAUCAUGAGAAACUUAUGGUGCUUGUGGAGGUGGAUGCGCCGGUUGAUGAAAUUCCGAUCGUACUAGAUAUGCCGACUAUUGGAGAUGUGGUGCAGAUGGGCCUUGUGCCCAUGCCUAUGUUGGCGCCUUUGGCCACUAUUCUUGCUGCCAUCCUUCAUGGACUCCCUCGUAGUUUGGUGCAUUCUUAAACUCCAUCUGCCAGUAGCUUGAGCUAGGUGGUGGUACUUGUAUCUCUGGAGCUGCCUGUGAUGAUGAGCCUUUUUAUAUUCUCUAUCCUCUCUUGUGUUUCUUUGCGGGAAAUAUAAUUCCUUCUUUCUACCAGUUAGUCUCUCCCACAUGGUAAAUCCCUAGUCUUCUAUCAGGCAAUUUGAAAUUAGUAACUCCAACUGUAUACACUUUCUCUCCAUCGCCGCCAAUUAAGUGUGCAUUUUUCAUUAUCCUAGCAUCAAUGCUUCCUCCUUUUAUGAACCACUUAGUGACCCUUUCAAUAUCUGGCUUCAAAAAGGAUGCAAUCAUGGUCAAGUAGCAACCUGAUCCAACAGUCCCGGUCCCUGAUGUGGUUUCAGCAAGCCAUCUGUUUAUCAUCAACAAUGAGGGGUCAGUCACUUUUUUUCCCACUACCGCAUAGUAAAGCCAGUUUAUCUCGAAGUCAGUAAUUUUAGUCUCCUUCAUUCUUCCCGAGACACGGUGGCUCAUCCAAAAAUGAAAUACUUGUAGUAUGGGAUUGCAAAUAUUUUUUCGUUGCCUGUUUUCUUCCUUUACAAUUUUCUUCUAGGAUUCUUUUAAGUCUUCUUCUUCCACUUCUCCAUAUAUUUGGGGCUUUUGGAUUGAAAUCAUGUAGUGUUGUGAUUGCUCCAUAUGUAAUAAUCUUCACUUCAUCCUUUAUUCUAACGGAUAGGCAUGGAAUUUAUUCAUUUGUCUUCUCGUUCCAUUGCAUGACCUUUUUCAUGGUCACGAGCAUCACCACGGCCACAUCCUUGCAUACACUGAUGGGGUCAUUAAGAGCAAAUUGCAUCCACCCAAUAUUUCCUAGGAACUUGUAAAUAUCAUUAUGAAAUCCAAUAUCCUAAAGAAAGUUGUCAUCAAAGUCAUGGUUGGCGAUGAUGCUUCCUUCAAUAUUCUUCAGCCACUCUUCCUCUUACUUGCUUUUUAUCAUGAAGCCGUAUUCCGAUUUCUUUUCAGUGAAGCCCCCACGAGAGCAAGUUUCUCUCCUCGAAGUGUACGAUGCGGCUUCAGGAAUUCCCCGUAGUUCAUCGAACCGCAUGAAGAAGUUUCAUGUGGUCUUCCCAUCAAGCAACAUACGAUCACUGCAUGGUGGUACCACGUUGACGUCCAUGCCUCGCAGUGACUCGAAGACCGAGUGCCGUCGCGAAGCGCUUGAUGUAGAUGAUGCUUCGGCCAUUGAGCAAGACUUCUUGAUCUUCCCGAAAAUUCUUCCCAAGCUCUUCAUGGCUGCACACUCAAGAGAAACAGCUUGCCGGGGUUUCUUGCUGAUGAGAAAAUUGCACAAGAACAAGAAAUAGCAAGAGGUGAUUGCUGAAAUUUUUCUAGUGGCUGGAAUUCUUUGUAUGAGUGCAGUUUCAAAAAUUUUCAGAGGCUAUUCAAAGGUGUUCUUGGUGUGUUGGACAAAAAAUAUGAUGAACAAUUGAGAGAGUGGGUGCGUACCAAAGGGGGGGGGUGCCUGGAGGCUUAAAAGAGCUCAGGCCGAUCGGCCUGAGCCUCACCAGGCCGAUCGGCCUUGUGGUUUUCCACCACCUUUGCUUGUCAUUUUUCUUUCCAUGCUUUCUUGGCCAUUAUCGCACUGUGAAUUUUCAGGUCCUUCACAUGAAUGCACCGCCCAAGCAGUCUCCUCCACUCCUUUGUGUUGUCACCCUGUUGAAAAUCAUGCACUUAUGUGUUAUAGCCUUGUCGUUUUCUCAAUUUCACUCAAUGCCUCAUAUUUUGAGCUGUAACAAACAAUUAUGGUAGGCCACUCUGUGUUUCUUUAUGCAUGUAUUCAGGAAUGGCCCUCCCAGGAUGAGUGGAGAUUUAGUUUCUUCUCCCAUCUCGAGUAUCACAAACCAACAGGGACAAAGUGAUUCCCGAUCUUCACAGGUACAUCUUCAGCAAUGCCUUCAGGAUAGCGAACGUGUUGUUCGCUAACUCCAGGCACAUAGCAGUUGCUUCCGGCUCUGCAGGCGUAGCUUCUCGAAUACAUGUUUAGUCAUGACGCUCACACUUGCGCCAAGAUCACAUAAUGCCCUUUCGAACAUCCGCGCUCCAAUUGAACAAAGGAUGGUUGGACAUCGAAGAUCUCUUUUCUUCUCGGGAGCUUGAUUAGCAAUAGCAGCAUUGCACACUUCUGUCAUCUUGAUGUGAUCUGUAGUGAACUGUGGAAUCUCUAGCUUGUUUGUCAAGAUAUCCUUGAAUUAGCGAGCAUAGGUUGGAACUUGUAGAGCAUCCAACAGUGGCAUAUUAAUGUUCAACCUGUGCACAACUUCAACAAACUUCUCAAACUGUUCGUCAGUUUUACCUAGACGAUGGCGUAGUUUCUUUGACAGAAUCUUUGUGUCAUCUUGAUCGACCAUCUCAAACUCUGUCUCUUCCAUUUCAAUCUCUGGAACUGGGGUAGGUAUCUUCUCCUUUGAAGUCAUCUCUACUUCUGCUACUGGUUUAGGCUUCCUAGCUCCUACCGGAUGUUUUGGAUCUUUUGUUUCAUUGCCUGAGCGAGUUUGAAUAGUUUUAGCUGACUUUGGAUUCAUUGGUUGUCCUAACAACUUCGUUGAUUGCUUGUAAAAUGCCUAGAUAAUUAUGUAACUUGAGUCUCCAGUAUCUUCAUCAUGUUCAUCACUUGGUGGUUCGAACUUUGCUGUCGAUAUUUUUUAGAAUUGUGUCCAUAGUCUUGAACUUAGUAACAUUAUCUUUGUUGAUCUUGCCUUGCUCCUCCAUGAACUCCUUUAGCUAAAUGCAUAGAGGCACUAUAUUCUGAAUAGAUGAGCUUGCACUGAAUUGAGUUCUAUUCUGUCCAUGUCGAUAGUUGGAUGGGGGAAACCACUCUUAGUUCUUCAUGUAGUCAAGCAACUUUGCUUCCUCUGGACAGUUCUUCCUGACAUGGCCAUAGUCGCCACACUCUUCACAUGUUGAUCUUACUUUUGCUACCUUCAGGUCUAUAGCUUCAGUUUCCUUUAUCUCUAUCUUGUCCAGUCUCCUCAUUAGCGAGUCAAUUUUUCCUUCGAGUAAUUGAUCACGCUCCACCUGCAACACUUCUUGUGUAUUUCCAAUAGGUUGAGCUAGGAAUAGGCACUCAGAUGAUGCUCAUGCAUCGUUGUUUGCAACUUUCUUGAAUAACUUGAAAGCUUGACUUGGGGUGAGGUCUAUAAUUGAUCCUCCAGCCGAUGCAUUGAUAAUUGCCCUUGAUGUUGAUGUUAGCCCUUGAUAGAACUUCUGGACUAUCCUUUGGGUACUUAUGGUGUGGAACUGCACGGAUGUAAUCAUUGAAGCGCUCAUGAGCUUCAGCAAUCGUCUCGGAAGCAUAUUGAGCAAAAGUAGCUAUCCUGCUUCUGAGAUUCUAAGUCUUGGCUAGUGAAUAAUGCUCAGUUAAGAAAGUCUUCUUCAACUCAUCCCAAUUCUGAAUUGUUGCCACCGAUAGAGAGUAAAAACCAUUGAAGCGCUCUUCCAAGUAGAGAGUAAGGGAACAAUCUUUCCUUUAGUUGAUUCUGAGUAACUCCAUCCACGUCAAAGGUGUUGCAUAGCUGCAUAAAUGCUUAUAGAUGAAGAUUAGCAUCCUCCUUGCCAGUGAAUGGUGAACUCUGCAAGAUCCUCAGUCUUGAAGUAUCAAUCCCAAACGGUCGGCCGACGCCACCCAGUUUAUAGAUAGGUAAGUCAUUGAUGUUCGGAAUGCAAAGUUCCCCAUAGUAGGCUCUCGCUCCAGUUGUUGAUUUCUCAUUGCAGGUGCUUGCAGUACUUCUGGAGUAACUGCUACUCCCAAAAAUUGGAGGUCCCCGGAGACCUUUUAGUACUAGGUCGUAACACCACCCGAUACUAAAAUUGACCCUUUAGUACCGGGUGGUGUUACCCGGUACUAAAGGUCUCUCCACACGUACUUCAAAUGGAAAGCAUAUACAUAUCCAUCGCAUGUGCUUUGUAUGCGGAGUGGUGUUUGCGGCUGUUAGCACGCCAAUUUGUGAACCACAAGCGUAUGGAUCAGUUGUAGCUCUUCCCUCAGAGUAUUCCCCCAAGGUUUAUCAAUCUAUGGAACUUGUAGCACAAGAUCUAUUUUAACUACCAUUGUUAGUAUUAACUUGGUGUUUAUGAGAGAUUCAGAUCCAAUCUACUAAGCAUGUACAGACAGAUAACAGUUAGAGCAAAGAUAACCAAUCUAGAGCAAUCUAGACUAUGCAUAUGUUGUAAUUCUGAGCAUGGAUAGCAAAGCAACACAGACAUGAUCUCAGUAAAAAAUAUAUUUAAAUCUACACCUUCGGUCCGGAUCCUGAAACCCCCCACCUUAUAAAAGAAAGAUCCUAUCAUGAUCAAGCAGGUUAAGGGCAUAAUCCUAAGAACAUGUCAUACUCAUCAGUAGAUCAGGCAUG